rnacentral:lncRNA from 1 species
ACAAAGCUUCGCUCCCAAGAACCGAGCCACGCAGCCAGCGAGCCACACAAGCGGCGAGAAAAUGGCGGCCAGGGCCCGACGGAAAUUGCCGAAGGUGCCGGAGCGCACGGGGCAGCGCGCGGCGGCGGAAAGAGCCGAGCGCGCGGGCGCCCAGCGGCGGGAGACGAGCGGCGGGGCACAGGGACCGGGGGAGUGGGCGCCUCCGCCGUUGGCUGCCUCCGCCUGCCCGCGCGCGUGCUCCCGCCCUCUGAGACGUGCCUGCUGCAGUGGCUGGCUGGGCGUCCUGGGUUCCCUUCUGUGGGCGGUAUGAGUGGGACAGCCUGCAGCCUGCAGCCUGCAACCUGCAACCGCGUAUGCCUCAGGCUGGCCCGGACUGCAACACUGCUCUCAGGCAGCUUCCACUUUUCCCUCCAACCUCAAAGCUGCAUUACCUCCACCCACAAAGGCCAAUCCCAGACCCAGCCCGAUGACCCUUCAUGGUCUCAGCCCCAGAGAAAAGACUCUAUAGCAGCAUCCUAGACCUUAUCCACAAACUGUCCAUCCUCAAAGAGCUUACCCCACUGGACAAGACCCAUUGUUUAGUAAAAUAAAACAACACCUCCUAAAUAA